rnacentral:rRNA from 1 species
UACGUAGGGUGCAAGCGUUGUCCGGAAUUAUUGGGCGUAAAGAGCUCGUAGGCGGCUUGUCACGUCGGAUGUGAAAAUCCAGGGCUCAACCCUGGACCUGCAUUCGAUACGGGCAGGCUAGAAUUCGGUAGGGGAGACUGGAAUUCCUGGUGUAGCGGUGAAAUGCGCAGAUAUCAGGAGGAACACCGGUGGCGAAGGCGGGUCUCUGGGCCGAUAUUGACGCUGAGGAGCGAAAGCGUGGGGAGCGAACAGG